rnacentral:misc_RNA from 1 species
ACGAGAAAUCUGCAAACCUCUGCUGAACGCUUGGUUGAAGAGCAUACGAGUCUGGAAUUCUGAAACAAAUGGAAACCAGGCAAGGAAUGCAACGGGAGUGAAGAGAAGCAAACCCAUGAUGAUCUCGUAGCCACGAGCGAGUGUCCUUACAGAUCCCCAGAAUCCAGCUCGCUGGACAAGUGGUUUCAAUGCUUGUGCAAUCAAAAGCAUGCCCCAACCAGUUGGCAUGAAAGCAAGGAUGCAAACAAUGAUAUCUUGCACUGUCAUAUGAGGAAGAGCAAUCAAGGUGACGAGAAUCGAGACGAACGUUAGGAAAAUUAAACCCUUGAUCAAACGGAACACAAGUUGGAAAUCUGCGCUAAACUUUCGCCUUCCAACCGAUACAGUCUUCAUUACAAACAGUAUUAGAAAGAUCACCAGCCAUGAAAUGCCAUAUACCAGGAAACUUUUAGUAUUUGUGCGCUGAGUAAUGCUAAGAUGAUAGACGAGACCAUACUGAUAGAUAAAGAACCGAGAAGCUAAUAAUAUUUCAGCUACUAAGCCUCGCUUUCCAGAGUGACGUAAAUGCUCUUGUUCUUCCUCCCACCAUGACUCCCAACUUUUUUCUGGUGGAACACCAAUUCCACCGCGAUUACUUAUCCACUUAUUCCAAUCUGUCCAAUCGUCG